AGGCUAUCUCAAUAACUUGCAAGCAACUCACUGUGCUUUGAUGCCGAACUAUCUAAAUUUUUCAUUCGAUGAUAGAAGAUUAUUGGGUACAGUCAAGUACUUAUGAAGUCUGAGUGCGAGUCAAGAUGAAAUUGAUCGUUCCAAGUAAAAUUAGAGAUGAUGCAUCACUGUAUUUUAAUUCAGUAAAAUUUUGGCCAAAGUAGUCCUAGUGAAGAGUCACAGGAUUUUUGAGGUGGAGACACAAUGUGGAUCAAUCAUUCUGGGUGGACAGUUUAACCCUUAGUCAUCCUUGAGCAUCAAGUAUCAAAGAGAUGAAUUAUAUAGUAAUUAUAUUCACAUGGGUU
rnacentral:lncRNA from 1 species